UAAGGAAUAUUGGUCAAUGGACGCAAGUCUGAACCAGCCAUGCCGCGUGAAGGAUUAAGGUCCUCUGGAUUGUAAACUUCUUUUAUCUGGGACGAAAAAAGGCGAUUCUUCGUCACUUGACGGUACCAGAUGAAUAAGCACCGGCUAACUCCGUGCCAGCAGCCGCGGUAAUACGGAGGGUGCAAGCGUUAUCCGGAUUCACUGGGUUUAAAGGGUGCGUAGGCGGGCAGGUAAGUCAGUGGUGAAAUCCUAGAGCUUAACUCUAGAACUGCCAUUGAUACUAUCUGUCUUGAAUAUUGUGGAGGUAAGCGGAAUAUGUCAUGUAGCGGUGAAAUGCUUAGAUAUGACAUAGAACACCUAUUGCGAAGGCAGCUUACUACGCAUAUAUUGACGCUGAGGCACGAAAGCGUGGGGAUCAAAC
rnacentral:rRNA from 1 species